rnacentral:rRNA from 1 species
CUACGGGUGGCUGCAGUGGGGAAUAUUGCACAAUGGACGAAAGUCUGAUGCAGCAACGCCGCGUGGAGGAUGACACAUUUCGGUGCGUAAACUCCUUUUAUAUAGGAAGAUAAUAACGGUACUAUAUGAAUAAGCGCCGGCUAACUCCGUGCCAGCAGCCGCGGUAAUACGGAGGGCGCAAGCGUUACUCGGAAUCACUGGGCGUAAAGAGCGUGUAGGCGGAUAGAUAAGUCAGGAGUGAAAUCCUAUGGCUCAACCAUAGAACUGCUCUUGAAACUGUCUAUCUAGAAUAUGGGAGAGGUAGAUGGAAUUUCUGGUGUAGGGGUAAAAUCCGUAGAGAUCAGAAGGAAUACCGAUUGCGAAGGCGAUCUACUGGAACAUUAUUGACGCUGAGACGCGAAAGCGUGGGGAGCAAACAGGAUUAGAUACCCUGGUAGUC